CAAUAGCGUAUAUUAAAGUUGUUGCAGUUAAAAAGCUCGUAGUUGGAUUUCUGGUGGGAGCGAUCGGUCUGGCGCUUAGCGCGAGUACUUGCAUCGUCUCCGGCCAUCCUUGGGGAGAGUCUGUCUGGCAUUAAGUUGUCGGGCAGAGGAUCCUCAUCGUUUACUGUGAAAAAAUUAGAGUGUUCAAAGCAGGCUUAUGCCGUUGAAUAUAUUAGCAUGGAAUAAUAAGAUAGGACUUUGGUACUAUUUUGUUGGUUUGCGCACCGAAGUAAUGAUUAAUAGGGACAGUUGGGGGUAUUCGUAUUCCGUUGUCAGAGGUGAAAUUCUUGGAUUUACGGAAGACGAACUACUGCGAAAGCAUUUACCAAGGAUGUUUUCAUUA
rnacentral:rRNA from 1 species